AUGUUCCAUCACCAUCAUAGCCACCAUUGUUGCAGCCCACAACCUUGGUACCUCCUGCAUUACCCAUUGAAUUUUGUUGGACUGACAUCAACACCACCAUCUCCAUGGUUGCCACUUCGUUCUUCAUCUUAGGGCUUCAAGAGACGUAGGUAUCUAAGAAAUACAUCAAGAAAAAGACAAUGAUGCAGAAACAAAGAUCACCUCUUAUGAAGAUAAUGUUGUACUUUUCAAUUUAAGUUUGUAUAUUAUUUUAAUUGAAUGUUUUUAGCUAGGUUUUGUUUGUAUAUAGAAAAUAGAGAGGUACUUGAAAAACAUUUAUGGAAUUGUGUUCUUAAUAUUUAAUGUAUAUGUAAUGAUUUUUUU